GUCCUGCGGUUGUGGUGGAGGCAUGGCAGUCUACGAAACUGUCGGGCGAGGUUCGAAUCCUCGGCGGGAUA
rnacentral:tRNA from 1 species